rnacentral:rRNA from 1 species
UACGAAGGGGGCUAGCGUUGUUCGGAAUUACUGGGCGUAAAGCGCGCGCAGGCGGUUUUUCAAGUCAGUGGUGAAAGCCCGGAGCUCAACUCCGGAACUGCCAUUGAAACUGUAAAACUUGAGGAUGAGAGAGGUGAGUGGAAUUCCCAGUGUAGAGGUGAAAUUCGUAGAUAUUGGGAAGAACACCGGUGGCGAAGGCGGCUCACUGGCUCGGUACUGACGCUCAGGUGCGAAAGCGUGGGGAGCAAACAGG